CACCGCCCGUCACAUCACGAAAGUGGGUUGUACUAGAAGUCCGCACGCCAACCGCAAGGAGGCAGCGGCCCAAGGUAUGACUCAUGAUUGGGGUG
rnacentral:rRNA from 1 species